rnacentral:rRNA from 1 species
CCUACGGGAGGCAGCAGUAGGGAAUAUUGGUCAAUGGACGAAAGUCUGAAGCAGCCAAGCCGCGUGGAGGAUGACGGUUUUAGGAUUGGUAAACUUCUUUGUUAGAGAAGUUAAUGACGGUAUCUGACGAAUAUGCACUGGCUCACUCCGUGCAAGCAGCCGCGGUACUACGGAGGGUGCAAGCGUUACUCGGAGUCACUGGGCUUAAAGCGGGCGUAGGGGGGAUAGCAGGUCAGUUGUGAAAUCCUAUGGCUUAACCAUAGAACUGCAUUUGAAACUGUUAGUCUAGAGUAUGGUAGAGGUAGGUGUAAUUCGUGGUGUAGCGGUAAAAUGCGUAGAGAUCAAGAAGAAUACUGAUUGCGAAGGCAACUUGCUAGACUACAACUGACGCUGAGGCUCGAAAGUGUGGGGAGCAAACAGGAUUAGAUACCCGGGUAGUC